AAUGAACGCUGGCGGCGUGGAUAAGACAUGCAAGUCGAACGAAAAGAGAUUUAGUUUACUAAUGAUCUUUUAGUGGCGGACGGGUUAGUAACGCGUGAGCAACCUGCCUUAAAGAGGGGGAUAGUCCUGGGAAACUGGGUUUAAUACCGCAUAAGCUCCAUCAUUUAUUUGGCGGAGUAAAGUGGCCUUCGGGUCAUGCUUUAAGAUGGGCUCGCGUCCUAUCAGCUUGUUGGUGAGGUAAAGGCUCACCAAGGCGACGACGGGUAGUUGGUCUGAGAGGGCGAUCAGCAACACUGGAACUGAGACACGGUCCAG
rnacentral:rRNA from 1 species